GGAGAAGAACCUGACAAUGGUAAAACAGAUAUGGACAUUGAUCAAGAUAAAUCAGGAAAGGGACACAGAAGCAGUAACAGGUCAUGAAGACAGCUAGACCCAGAGUGACGCAAAUUCCCAAGACUCCUCUAAAGAUUCUGAUGCUAAAGAAGACAAUGAAACCUCGACUGAUCCUAACGAUCACGAAGACACUAGUCAAAACGAUGAGGAAGAUUCUGAUGCAUUUGAUGAUGUCCAAAACUUGGAGACAGCCAUUCUAGGAGGUUACGGUGUGGAGGUUCGGAUUUUCGUUUGCGGAAGCGGUGGCGGCGACUCUGAUGGUCGCAUGGUUUUUGCGAUUAGGGUUCUUUGUGUCUCCCGGUUUAACCGAUUUGGCAAUCUUUGGUUUUUGGUUUAAUUCUUAACUGGGCUUUAUGAGGAUUUGCGGUUUGGGAUUUUUUCCAGGUUUUUUAGUUUCUCCUUCUG
rnacentral:lncRNA from 1 species